rnacentral:rRNA from 1 species
GUUGUAUGGUUAAGUGACUAAGCGUACAGGGCGGAUGCCUUGGCAAUCAGAGGCGAUGAAGGACGUGCUAAUCUGCGAAAAGCUUGGAUGAGUCGAUAAGAGGCGUUUAAUCCAAGAUGUCCGAAUGGGGAAACCCGAUGGAUGAAGAAUCCAUCAUUUCAUGGUGAAUACAUAGCGAUGAAAGGCGAACCGGGAGAACUGAAACAUCUAAGUACCCCGAGGAAAAGAAAUCAACCGAGAUUCUGUGAGUAGCGGCGAGCGAAAGCGGAAGAGCCAGUAAGUUUUAGCUAGCAUAUUAGAGGAAUUGGCUGGGAAGCCAAAUCAAAGAGGGUGAUAAUCCCGUACUCGAAAGUAUGUUAGUGGAACUAAGCUUACGAUAAGUAAGGCGGGACACGAGAAAUCCUGUUUGAAGAUGGGGGGACCAUCCUCCAAGGCUAAAUACUCCUGAUUGACCGAUAGUGAACCAGUACUGUGAAGAAAGGCGAAAAGAACCCCGGUGAGGGAGUGAAAUAGACCUGAAACCCAUGUACGUACAAGCAGUAGGAGCGAUGGCAACUUGUGACUGCGUACUUUGUAUAAUGGUCAGCGACUUAUUUUGUAGCGAGGUUAACUGAAUAAGGGAGCGAAGGGAAACCGAGUCUUAACUGGGCGUUGAGUUGCAAGGUAUAGACCCGAACACGUGAUCUAGCCAUUGGCAGUUGAGGUUGGUAACACUAACUGAGGACCGAACCGACUAAUGUUGAAAAAUUAGCGAUGACUUGUGGCGGGGGUGAAAGGGCAAUCAAGACCGGGAGAUAGCUGUUCUCCCGAAAUUAUUUAGGUAGAGCCUUGAGCGGACACCUUCCGGGGUAGAGCACUGUUUCGGCUAGGGGUCCAUCCCGAGUACCAACCCGAUGCAACUGCGAAUACCGAAGAGUGAUACCAGGAGACACCGGCGGGUGCUAAGCGUUGUCGUGGAGAGGGGAAACAACCCAGACCGCCAGCUAGGUCCCGAAGUCUAUAUAAGUGGGAAACGAAGUGGGAAGCUUAGACAGCUAGGAUGUUGGCUUAGAAGCAGCCAUCAUUUAAAGAAAGCGUAGAUAGCUCAGCUAGUCGAGUCGGCCUGCGCGGAAGAUGUACGGGGCUCAAUAUAGCACCGAAGCUUGCGGCAUCAGAAUUUAUUCUGUUGGGUAGGGAGCGUUGUGUAAGCGGAUGAAGGUGGCUCGAGAGGGUUGCUGACGUAUCACAAGUGCGAAUGCUGACAUAAGUACGAUAAAACGAGUGAAAAACUCGUUCGCCGGAAGACCAAGGGUUCCUGUCCAACGUUAAUCGGGCAGGGUGAGUCGGCCCCUAAGGCGAGGCUGAAAAGCGUAGUCGAUGGGAAACGGGUUAAUAUUCCCGUACUUGGAUAAACUGCGAUGUGGGGACGGAGAAGGUUAGGUUAGCAGACUGUUGGAUGUCUGUUUAAGGUGGUAGGUGGAAGACUUAGGCAAAUCCGGGUCUUUAUAAACACUGAGAGCUGAUGACGAGGUCUUAAGGGACUGAAGUAACUGAUACCCUGCUUCCAGGAAAAGCCACUAAGCUUCAGGUUUAUCUAAACCGUACUGAAAACCGACACAGGUGGUCAGGUAGAGAAUACUCAGGCGCUUGAGAGAACUCGGGUGAAGGAACUAGGCAAAAUAGCACCGUAACUUCGGGAGAAGGUGCGCUUACAGUAAUUGUAGUCCCUCGCGGAUGAAGGUGAAGUAAGUCGAAGAUACCAGCUGGCUGCAACUGUUUAUUAAAAACACAGCACUCUGCAAACACGAAAGUGGACGUAUAGGGUGUGAUGCCUGCCCGGUGCUGGAAGGUUAAUUGAUGGUGUUAUCGAAAGAGAAGCUCCUGAUCGAAGCCCCAGUAAACGGCGGCCGUAACUAUAACGGUCCUAAGGUAGCGAAAUUCCUUGUCGGGUAAGUUCCGACCUGCACGAAUGGCAUAAUGAUGGCCAGGCUGUCUCCACCCGAGACUCAGUGAAAUUGAAAUCGCCGUGAAGAUGCGGUGUACCCGCGGCUAGACGGAAAGACCCCGUGAACCUUUACUAUAGCUUGACACUGAACAUUGAAUUUUGAUGUGUAGGAUAGGUGGGAGCCUUUGAAGCAGUGACGCCAGUCAUUGUGGAGGCGACCUUGAAAUACCACCCUUUAACGUUUGAUGUUCUAACGAAGUGCCUGAAACGGGUACUCGGACAGUGUCUGGUGGGUAGUUUGACUGGGGCGGUCUCCUCCCAAAGCGUAACGGAGGAGCACGAAGGUUUGCUAAUGACGGUCGGACAUCGUCAGGUUAGUGCAAUGGUAUAAGCAGCUUAACUGCGAGACAGACAAGUCGAGCAGGUGCGAAAGCAGGUCAUAGUGAUCCGGUGGUUCUGAAUGGAAGGGCCAUCGCUCAACGAUAAAAGGUACUCCGGGGAUAACAGGCUGAUACCGCCCAAGAGUUCAUAUCGACGGCGGUGUUUGGCACCUCGAUGUCGGCUCAUCACAUCCUGGGGCUGAAGUAGGUCCCAAGGGUAUGGCUGUUCGCCAUUUAAAGUGGUACGCGAGCUGGGUUUAGAACGUCGUGAGACAGUUCGGUCCCUAUCUGCCGUGGGCGUUGGAUGAUUGAUUGGGGCUGCUCCUAGUACGAGAGGACCGGAGUGGACGCAUCACUGGUGUUCCAGUUGUCUCGCCAGAGGCAUUGCUGGGUAGCUAAUGCGGAGAGAUAAGUGCUGAAAGCAUCUAAGCACGAAACUUGCCAAGAGAUGAGUCAUCCCUGACUUUAAGUCAGUAAGGGUUGUUGUAGACUACGACGUAGAUAGGUUGGGUGUGUAAGUGUAGUGAUACAUUGAGCUAACCAAUACUAAUUGCCCGAGAGGCUUAACCAUACACGCU